rnacentral:misc_RNA from 1 species
CAAAAAUCUACUAAGAUGGGUCCCUUCUUCAAUAGUUCUUAGAGAUUUGAAAGAAAAGGUGGAAAGGAAAGGGAGAAGGCAGUCUAUUGUGGGUGUUCCUCCACGGGCAUAUCAUAUUUUAGAUCAUCAAAUUCAGGAAAUGCACAUGCGAAGAGUGAUGCUGACUUCUGUCUCUUGUGCCUCUUUAGCUUAACACCAAAUAAGAAAGACCGCAGGGGGAUCCUUGAACGUAUUGAUCUUUGUUUAGAUUCUGAAAAUCCAAGCUCAUCAUCCAUUUUUGACAGUGUCUUCUCAACUUCAUCCUUUAGACCGAUCACACGGUCCACACCUGCCUGAAGCUCACCUGCAACCUUCUUGUUUUCUUGUUUCAUGUUGAGAAUCUCACCUUGAAAUUUAGCUGCCUGAUAUACGCUUAGUUCAGGCUCUUCUGCUUUGGAAGUUUCACUCAUAACUCUUGAUAACUCUUCUUGAAUACUGCACAAAGAUGCAUAUCUGCCAUGCAGUUCUUCUUUGAAUACUGAAUUGGUCUCCAACCAUAAUGUUAAUUCUGUUUGUAUCUGUCUCAGGUGUCUGUAUAUCGGCCGAGCUUCUGAGAUGAGAGAUUUAUUUUUACCACUUCCAUCUUGGCUUUUGCUAUCUGUCAGCUUUGCUAGCUCCGUCUUUAAGUCUUGGACUGAAGUAUGGAACUUUUGUAUUUGAUGAAAUGAGGUGCUAAAUCUCAGCCAGAACUCCAAGUUUUCCUCCAGCAGUCCAUCAAUGUCCAAACGGAUUUUUUCUUCAAUAGCUGAAGCAAUGUGGAGUGUAUCAACACUUUUCAUCUUGAUCUCAUUUCUAAUCUCCUUCGGAUCGGACAUAUUAUUGCCUCCAAUUGCAGCUAAUUCAUGCAUUCUUCUUCUGGAUUCUAUGUGAUGUUCAUCUGCAGACUCAAAAAUUGGCUGAUGAGGAGAACUAAGGUUUGAGUGAUUAGAAUCCAGGAUGCUAGGUG